GACGAACGCUGGCGGCGCGCCUAACACAUGCAAGUCGAACGAGAGAUGAGGAGCUUGCUCUUCAAAUCGAGUGGCGAACGGGUGAGUAACGCGUGAGGAACCUGCCUCAAAGAGGGGGACAACAGUUGGAAACGACUGCUAAUACCGCAUAAGCCCACGGCUCGGCAUCGAGCAGGGGGGGAAAGGAGCAAUCCGCUUUGAGAUGGCCUCGCGUCCGAUUAGCUAGUUGGUGAGGUAACGGCCCACCAAGGCGACGAUCGGUAGCCGGACUGAGAGGUUGAACGGCCACAUUGGGACUGAGACACGGCCCAGACUCCUACGGGAGGCAGCAGUGGGGAAUAUUGCACAAUGGGGGAAACCCUGAUGCAGCGACGCCGCGUGGAGGAAGAAGGUCUUCGGAUUGUAAACUCCUGUUGUUGAGGAAGAUAAUGACGGUACUCAACAAGGAAGUGACGGCUAACUACGUGCCAGCAGCCGCGGUAAAACGUGGGUCACAAGCGUUGUCCGGAAUUACUGGGUGUAAAGGGAGCGCAGGCGGGAGAACAAGUUGGAAGUGAAAUCCAUGGGCUCAACCCAUGAACUGCUUUCAAAACUGUUUUUCUUGAGUAGUGCAGAGGUAGGCGGAAUUCCCGGUGUAGCGGUGGAAUGCGUAGAUAUCGGGAGGAACACCAGUGGCGAAGGCGGCCUACUGGGCACCAACUGACGCUGAGGCUCGAAAGUGUGGGUAGCAAACAGGAUUAGAUACCCUGGUAGUCCACACCGUAA
rnacentral:rRNA from 1 species